AGGUGGUUCCAAGGGUAGGGAAGCUAUCGACGCAUCCAUCGCCUCCCCCAAUCCAACACCUUGCUUAACCGCGCAUGUUCCCCGACCCACUCUCGAGGCUCACCGGCGUCGCCACCGGCUGCAGACUGCUCCCAGCUUGCCCUCCCUCUCUCUGAUCGCUUCUACCAUCUUCGCAUAAGUCCUGCAAGCUCUCUCCCUCUCUCUCUCUGUGGAACAUCAGCUCGCUUCGGGGACGAGGGGAGGAGAACCUGUGCAGGCGAACGAGGUUCAAUCUUCUAGCCCGGUUCUCAUAUGUGUUUGAGUCGAGGUGGAAGGACAAUGAUGUUAUAUGACGCUUUAUUAACCUAGAACACCGACCCGUGUCCGUGUUACGGUGGCGUUUCUGUCUCCCAUUCGCCUGCUCCUUCCGUCAGGUUCCAAGGUUUCUCUGUCCUUGAUGGUCCGAUAAUUAUUAUUUUGCAGAUCCUGACUAGGAGAUCAUCUAAAGGGGCAAGUAGCAGAGUUCCAAUCUUAUGAGAUGGAGCGGAUGCAUAUCAAAGAGAAGAUUGUCCAAUCCAGAUUUGCUUCCUUCGCUAACUGCAGAUAUGUAAAUCUUACCAAUUAGUUGAAAUUCACAUGGAUGUGCAGAUUGAUUUUAUCAGGAUGUUCGAAUGCAUUAUUUCUUCAACUUUGUGGUUUAAAAUUAUUUUUCACAUACAUGAUGUAGGCAACCUUGAAUCUUGGAGCCUUAGCAAGGGCACAUGCAAGUUACUGUUUCCAAUGGUUACGAGCAUCUCCUAUUUGCAAGACGAUGACAAGCAUGUUUCUGAAGAUGUGAAUAUCAGGGAUCUAGAUAUGACAAGCUGCGAGGCAAAUGGUCUUCAGCUUUACCGACCUCCACAAAGGCUGAACCAUGUUUAUCUGCUAGAGAUGGGAAAUUGGACAUUCUGAACUCUUUUUUAUGCCCGGGGCAUUCAUCAGUUGGUGCAGCAGGGAUAUUUAGGAUCCAUUCUAUUUCUGAUCAUUUUCAGUUAGGAGGCUAUGAGAUUAUUGUAGGCCCCACUGUGUCAUUAAAUAGGUAUUUUUCUUUCUUAUCUUGCUCUAUUUUCUGUUUUGUGCUUUAAAUUGUUUCUAUAUGUCACCCACUUAAUCUAAGGCUGUCCACAAUCAAUUGUUUUCUUUCAGUAGGAUUUUGCUGUACUCCUGAAAAUCCAUGGGCAAAUAGUACUAUGUUCAGUUGAGAGAAGUAGUUCACGACACAUGGAAAUAUUUAUGGACGCUGAAUUAUAGUGUCAUUGUCGCCAUCGUCAAUGCUAAGUCUAUUUACACUUUGGAUUAUGGGCUGCUAAUAUCUUUUGGUUUUCUUAUCUUUUUGUUCUGUGACUACUUUUCUGUAAUGGCAUGAACUCUUACUUUUGUUUCUAAAGAUUAACCUGUCGUCAUUGCUAACUUAGUGUUCCUAUUUCAGCCAUGUAUUGUUGGGGAUUCAGUGAUUUCAGGCUACCAGUAAUUUCUUCUAUUUUUCAGGUUAAGCACAAUGAAUGGUUCCUACACAUAACUGUUUUAGUUCUCCUUAUUGAGCAUAACAAUUAGUCUCCAACUGCUCUCCAACAAUCUUUUUAGCUCCUUGGUUAAGUACAGAUAGGGGUGUAGGGCAUCAUUCCGCAUAAGCCUCCAAAAGCACGGUGUUAAUUCAAACUGAACUACAUCACUAAAAAACUGCUAUAACUAACCUGACCUGUUUUGCCUAUGGAGCAGGACGGACCAGGUGCCGCUCUGCAUCCCUAAGGACAAAGAAUUGGUAGGUCCUUAUUUCUAUUGCUAAUGACGAGAUGAUGCUACCAUUAAGAAAGGUUGCUGCUUCAUUUUCCUUUUAACUUUCUGAAUGUUUUUGCAACCAACCAUUCUUUUACAUGUAUUUAAGAUGCGUUGCUAGAUGCGAGUGGUAUGUGCAAAUAUACAAGCUACUAAUUUGUUCUACUAUGGGCAUGGCGUUAUAAUUAGCCAUUUUCGUAGUUACUAUAGUUUGUUUCUCUUACAUUAAGCGAAAGGUAUGUUUCAUUGCCCC